AGGACGAACGCUGGCGGCGUGCUUAACACAUGCAAGUCGAACGGUGAAGGGGACUUCGGUCCCUGGAUCAGUGGCGAACGGGUGAGUAACACGUGGGCAACCUGCCCCUAGCUCCGGAAUAACCCCGGGAAACCGAGGCUAAUACCGGAUAAUGACUCUGCGCGGCAUCUCGCGGAGUGGAAAGUUUUUCGGCUUAGGGAUGGGCCCGCGGCCUAGUCCAGCUUGUUGGUGGGGUAAUGGCCUACCAAGGCGACAACGGGUACGCCGGACCGUGAGAGGGUCGACCGGGCCAACGACGUCGGGACUGGAGACC
rnacentral:rRNA from 1 species